rnacentral:rRNA from 1 species
AACGAACGCUGGCGGCAUGCCUAACGCAUGCAAGUCGAACGAGACCUUCGGGUCUAGUGGCGCACGGGUGCGUAACGCGUGGGAACCUGCCCUUAGGUUCGGAAUAACUCCCCGAAAGGGGUGCUAAUACCGGAUAAUGUCUUCGGACCAAAGAUUUAUCGCCUUUGGAUGGGCCCGCGUUGGAUUAGCUAGUUGGUAGGGUAAAAGCCUACCAAGGCGACGAUCCAUAGCUGGUCUGAGAGGAUGAUCAGCCACACUGGGACUGAGACACGGCCCAGACUCCUACGGGAGGCAGCAGUGGGGAAUAUUGGACAAUGGGCGAAAGACUGAUCCAGCAAUGCCGCGUGAGUGAUGAAGGCCUUAGGGUUGUAAAGCUCUUUUACCCGGGAUGAUAAUGACAGUACCGGGAGAAUAAGCUCCGGCUAACUCCGUG